rnacentral:rRNA from 1 species
AUGGUGGGCUUCUUCCGCAGCGGCAACCUUGCCUCCAGGGUGUUCGACCGCCAGUUCCUCUCUCCGCGCCCCGGCGCAACCGUUAAUACUGUCAGACAAUUCUAUGAGAAUUUGGUUCCAAGUUACACUAUAUACGACAUAGAUUGCCCGGAUUAUUCGUUUCGCAAGUUCACUGAUGAUGGCAAGUAUCUUGUGGCCUUUAGUCGAAACCAUCAAGAUUUGAUUGUGUACCGUCCCAUCUGGUUAACGUUUUCAUGCCAUGAAGAAUGUGAUUCUCAUGAUCUUCCGGCCAAUGCAGAGAGAUUUGACAGUUUCUUUAAGCAGCUCUACUCAAUCUCACUUGCAUCCAGCAAUGAGUACAUUUGUAAGGACUUUUUCCUCUACAUGGAGUGCCAUCAAUAUGGCUUAUUUGCAACGUCAACUGCACAAAGUAAUGACUCAAGUGCCACUGAUGGUGCAAUUCACGGGGUACCAUCAAUUGAGAAAAUAACUUUCUAUCUUGUGAGGUUAGAAGAUGGUGCAAUACUAGACGAGAAAGCUUUCUGCAAUGAUUUUAUCAAUUUGGCUCAUAGUAUUGGUGCUUACUUGUAUGAGGAUCUGGUUUGCAUUGUCUCUCUUCGAUAUCAAACAAUACAUGUCCUACAAAUCCGAGAUUCCGGCAGCCUUGUUGAGGUACGGAGAAUUGGUGCAUUUUGCCGGGAAGAUGACGAACUAUUUCUUUAUUCACAUGGCCAGGCUGCACAGGGGAAUUCUUUUCUUCCUGGCAUCAAGCAACGGUUGCUAUCAUUUAUUUUCCGCAAGACUUGGAAUGAGGAACCUGAUCAGGCUUUGAGGGUCCAGCAUCUGAAGAAGAAAUUUUAUUUUCACUUUCAAGACUAUGUGGAUCUUAUCAUAUGGAAGGUACAGUUUUUGGAUCGCCGUCACCUAUUUAUCAAGUUUGGUAGUGUCGAUGGAGGGGUUACUCGGAGCACUGAUCAAAACCUAGCAUUCUUUGCUGUGUACAACAUGGAGACGACAGAUAUUGUCUCACUCUAUCAGAAUUCUUCGGAGGAGCUGUAUUCAUUGUUUGAACAUUAUUAUGAUCAUUUCCAUGCAAAUCCUCAAAAUUCUUCGCAUGAGAAAUUUAUCUCGUCGCAUUCCAAUAGUGUUCAUGCUCUUGAUCAACUUCGCACCAUUAAAAAUAAAGCAAGCAGCUCCUCACAGUUUGUGAAAAAGAUGAUGGCGUCAUUGCCUUACACUUGCCAAUCACAAAGUCCUUCACCAUACUUUGACCUGUCGAUUUUUCGUUAUGAUGAGAAGCUGAUUUCAGCGAUUGAUCGGCAUAGGCAUUGCACAGAGCAUCCGAUAAAAUUUAUAUCAGUGAGGCAACCAAAUGUCGUCAAAUUUAAGAUAAAACCAGGGUCAGAUUCUGGUGGUUCCGACAGCCGAGCAAAAAGAAUCUCUUCCUUCUUGUUUCAUCCAUUUUUCCCGCUUGCACUGUCGAUUCAGCAGACAUAUAUGCAGCCAACUGUUGUCAAUGUACAUUUCAGGAGAUAG